CCUUGAGUUUGAUCAUGGCUCAGGAUGAACGCUAGCGGCAGGCUUAACACAUGCAAGUCGAGGGGCAGCGGGGUGUAGCAAUACAUCGCCGGCGACCGGCGCACGGGUGCGUAACACGUAUGGAAUCUGCCCUGUACUGGGAGAUAGCCCGGAGAAAUCCGGAUUAAUAUCCCAUAAUAUGUGAGGUGGCAUCACCUUGCUUUGAAAGCUCCGGCGGUACAGGAUGACCAUGCGCACGAUUAGCUAGUUGGUGAGGUAACGGCUCACCAAGGCUACGAUCGUUAGGGGGCCUGAGAGGGUUAUCCCCCACACUGGUGCUGAGACACGGACCAGACUCCUACGGGGGGCAGCAGUGAGGAAUAUUGCGCAAUGGAGGAAACUCUGACGCAGCCAUUUUUCUUGCAGGAAGAAGGCGCUACGCGUUGUAAGCUGCUUUUAACCGGGAAGAAACCCCAGGACGUGUCCUGGGUUGACGGUACCGGAGGAAUAAGCACCGGCUAACUUCGUGCCAGCAGCCGCGGUAA
rnacentral:rRNA from 1 species